AACCAUUCUCACCUGCGGCUAGACCUGCGGAAGGAUCAUUAAAAAGAGUGUGUACCCCUCUGUAAAAUGAGUGGGUUACCUCCCGUCCUUUGUUGACCUCUUAGGAGGUUAUUUUGAACUUUCUGCUUCGGUGGGGUUAAACCUACCGGAACACCCUCAAAUUCUUAUCAUUUAAAAAUUGUUCAGUCUGAUUUUUGUUAAUAAAAACAAAAAACUUUUAACAAUGGAUCUCAGAUCGGA
rnacentral:misc_RNA from 1 species